GACGAACGCUGGCGGCGUGCCUAACACAUGCAAGUGGAGCGACGAACCAGGCUUCGGCCUGGGGCAAAGCCGCGAACGGGUGAGUAACACGUGGGUAACCUGCCCCGAUGAUUAGGGACAACCCGAACGGAAACUACGGCGUAAUACCGAAUGUGCCCUACAGCUUCAAGGCUGGUGGGGAAAGGAAAGCUUCGGCCUCCGCAUCGGGAUGGGCCCGCGGCCCAUUAGCUUGUUGGUGA
rnacentral:rRNA from 1 species